GAUGAAGAACGUAGCGAAAUGCGAUACUUGGUGUGAAUUGCAGAAUCCCGUGAACCAUCGAGUCUUUGAACGCAAGUUGUGCCCGAAGCCAUUAGGCCGAGGGCACGCCUGCCUGGGCGUCACACGUCGUUGCCCCCCCAUCUACUCCUUCGGGAUUGCGGGGGGCGGAUGAUGGCCUCCCGUGCGCCUCGUCGCGCGGUUGGCAUAAAUGCCAAGUCCUCGGCGACGCACGCCACGACAAUCGGUGGUUGCGAAACCUCGGUUGCCCGUCGUGUGCGGUCGUCGCGCAUCGAGGGCUCGAAAAAAUUGUCGGGCUCCGGCUCGGCUUUCAACGCGACCCCAGGUCAGGCGGGGUUACCCGCUGAAUUUAAGCAUAUCAAUAAGCGGAGGA
rnacentral:misc_RNA from 1 species